rnacentral:lncRNA from 1 species
GUGACCGUCACACACCCUGGGGAGAUGCUGAUCACAUUGGGUCUCACUUACCUGAGGCCUCACACAAAGCAGUCUCCCGAUCUGUAAAGGAGGCUCUGCAUGGCAUCUGGGGGAUCCCUGUCCUAGAUGUAGAGCAGGAAUCCUGGGGGUGAUGUGAGGAGCACAGGACCAACUGAGAUAUCUAGGAAGAAACUGGCUGGGUUCACUGACUGCACACACACAAAUGAAGCACAUGGUGAAAGAAGGCUCACUUCUGGGCCAUUAGCAGAAACCAGGGAAAAGAGCAGGAAAAUCCCUUCACUCCUGGGCUCCGUUUCUAUCUCAGAGUCAGUCAGUGGCGCAAGAUGUCAGGGAUAGGGACAGUCCAUGUGUUACCAGUCAUUCUGGUCUGCAUGUUCAGGUUCACCAAGCCAAAGCAGGACAGUAAGUGUUAAGAAACAGAAAGGUCUUGUUUAAAGCCAGCUUCAAGGUGAUGGAGGGGCCCUUUCCCUGAAAACACGCUGCCCAGCUGUCUCAAAAUUUUUUACAGUAAAGACAGAGGGGACAGGUGUGAUAAGGAGCAGUACACAUUGCUGUGCUUGCUCCAUUGCUCCCAGGCAGCAAUGAAACUGGGCCCAGAAAUUUUGGGGCCAGGUUUUCCAUAUUCUGUUCAUUCACCUGAGCAGAGGAGAAGAGGGGUGGCAUUCAGAUUCUAGGUUUAAGGCUGUUCAGAGAGCCCACUUUCUCCUGUAGGAAAGAGUUCUAGCCAUCACAGUCCUCUUUUUCCAUGCUGGUUAUAGAUGUGACACCCUCAUGAAGUCCUCCCGACACAGCCACAUCCUGGCCUGCUUUGGCAAAGGUGGUGAACGCCAGGGCCAGCUAAGAAAUGCCAUCUCCACCAUCCUGGGCUCCUGGCUGGACACCUAUCACCAGGACUUCCAUGAGCCUCCGAACUUCCCAUGCCUGAAGCAGCUGAUGGAGUUUGUGCAGCUGCAUUUCCCUGGCUCAGACCUGGAGCACCAUGCCCACAUUCUCCUGGCCCAGCUGCAGGACCUGGUUCCUACAGAGACUGAGUCAGAGAUUCUGUCAUCACUUCUGGAGGAGGAGUCAGCUGUGUCACAGACUCUGGAGAUGGAGUCAGACCCAGUGCCACCUGCAUCAGCAGAGCCACCGGAGACUUCAUCUGUGGUGACAGCAAACAAGGUCUACAGUGAGAGUCACGUCCCCUCUUCCCAUGGGGACUGCAGGACAACAGCUCUGGACGGGGCCCAGGUAGAACAGCUCUGGACUGAUGAGGCUGGGUUGUGCUACAGGAGGUGCCCUAGGACUUCUG